UGUGUGUGUAUGAUGUGUGUUUGCGCACGAUGUGUGUGUGUGCAUGAUGUGUGCAUGAUGUGUGUGUGUGUGUGUGUAGUAUUCCCGGUGACUGUCCUCCUCCGAGUAGUAUUUUGGGGCGGAGCUACAAGGAGAGGCGGGGCCUGAGGGUGAGUGACAGCCGACCUGGCCAUAGGGAGACACCACUGAAUACUGAUGUUGGCACUUUCAGUGGGCUGCGUAUCGGAGAAGUACAGUCUGUAGGAGAGCUGUCCAGACCAGAGUUUAUCAUACACCCUCACCGCUACUUCAACCAUAGAGCCAAUACCAGCCCAAUAAUGACACCCCUACCUGCCAACACUGAGGUGGUGAAGGCUGCCUUUGACGAGCGGAGUCUGUUCCCUAAAGAGCUUCUGGAUGAAGAGGACAGGCCUAGCCAUGGAGCCAGGAAACAGGGGAACAGGGAGAACCGGAUCAACGACAGGGGGCGUGGAAGGAAGGACAGACAAAGAAAGGGUGGUUCCUCUGGAACCUUCAAGUGAAGACGUCAUUUAUAUUGUUAUCUACUUUAUUACGUUUUAAUAUGACUUUUUAAAUGUGUGUAAAAUUAAAUCUGAUCAAUCAAGACAAGAGUGUGUUUAUGUCUCUCUGCUUCCUCUCAUGAAAAAGUACUACUAAAUUACUAC